rnacentral:snRNA from 1 species
CAAAUAUAUUGUUAACAACAGA